GCAUAUCAAUAAGCGGAGGAAAAGAAACCAACCGGGAUUGCCCUAGUAACGGCGAGUGAAGCGGCAAGAGCUCAAAUUUGAAAGCUGGCCCCCUCGGGGUCCGCAUUGUAAUUUGCAGAGGAUGCUUCGGGAACGGCCCCCAUCUAAGUGCCCUGGAACGGGCCGUCAUAGAGGGUGAGAAUCCCGUCUGGGAUGGGGUGGCCGCGCCCGUGUGAAGCUCCUUCGACGAGUCGAGUUGUUUGGGAAUGCAGCUCUAAUUGGGUGGUAAAUUUCAUCUAAAGCUAAAUAUUGGCCGGAGACCGAUAGCGCACAAGUAGAGUGAUCGAAAGAUGAAAAGCACUUUGAAAAGAGAGUUAAACAGCACGUGAAAUUGUUGAAAGGGAAGCGCUUGCGACCAGACUCGCCCGCGGGGUUCAGCCGGCACUCGUGCCGGUGUACUUCCCCGCGGGCGGGCCAGCGUCGGUUUGGGCGGCCGGUCAAAGGCCUCUGGAAGGUAACGCCUCUCGGGGCGUCUUAUAGCCAGGGGUGCCAUGCGGCCUGCCCGGACCGAGGAACGCGCUUCGGCUCGGACGCUGGCAUAAUGGUCGUAAGCGACCCGUCUUGAAACACGGACCA
rnacentral:rRNA from 2 species